AGAGUUCGAUCAUGGCUCAGAACGUACGCUGGCGGCACGCCUAACACAUGCAAGUCGAACGAAGUAGCAAUACUUAGUGGCAGACGGGUGAGUAACAUGUAGGUAUCUGCCCUUUGGCCUGGAAUAACACGAGGAAACUUGUGCUAAUACCGGAUAAGUCUUUACAGAGAAAGCUUUAUGCACCAUUGGACGAGCCUGCACUUGAUUAGUUUGUUGGUAGGGUAAUGGCCUACCAAGACUGUGAUCAAUAGCUGAUUUGAGAGGAUGAUCAGCCACAUUGGGACUGAGACACGGCCCAAACUCCUACGGGAGGCAGCAGUGGGGAAUCUUGCACAAUGGAGGAAACUCUGAUGCAGCGAUGCCGCGUGAGUGAAGAAGGCCCUUGGGUUGUAAAGCUCUUUCGUCGGGGAAGAAAAUGACUGUACCCGAAUAAGAAGGUCCGGCUAACUUCGUGCCAGCAGCCGCGGUAAUUC
rnacentral:rRNA from 1 species